CCCAGCCCCAGCCAUAUCACCCUGCAGCCCAAGACUCACUAAAGGUUAGCAGCGCUGAGCCUGGUCAGUACCUGGAUGGGAGACCACAUGGAAAAACUAGGUUGUUGCUGGAA
rnacentral:rRNA from 1 species